GCCGACCACGCUGAGAAACCCUCGCUGCCGCCUCCCGUCCCACUCGCCUCCCCCUCCUCGUCGCCCCCUCCUUCUCCUCCCAUCGCCGCCCCCUCCUCCUCCCACCCCGUCCCCUCCUCCUCUGCCCCUCCCCCCGCAUCUCGUCCGCCCCGGGUGCGGAGAUGAGCUUCCCGGCAAUGGCGGCGGCGCUCGUGGGCAUCGCGGAGCUCGAAGAUGCAGCAGAUCCCCACCAGGGGUGGACUGGCACUUGGGGUACUCCCCGACAACGACGGCCCAGCGGCGAAUGGUGCGAGGGAGGCCGGCCACCGCGAUGAGUUCCUCUUUCUCUCUCCCCGAUCUAGUUUCUAUGAUUUCCAAGGGUGCUGCUCGGGUCAAUGGAUAAUGAAGAACUAUAUGACCAACUUUCCCCAGCUCCAACAUCUGCUACUAACAAUCUACCUGAGCAGGCUGUAAAAUAACUAAUAAGGAGACCCCAUGGUUGUUCGCUUAUUUGGAUUGUGACUUCUUUGAAAAGAAGAGGGCACUUUGGUACCUGAGAUCAAAGAGGAGGGUGAGAAGGGUGAGAAGAAAUGAAAGAGGAAGAAGAGGAACAAGAAGAGCAAGGAGGACGUUGCCGGUGACAAUGUGGGAGGUGCUUAGUUCCUCAUUUUCAGCUUUUGCCGGCUCGACUGAUGCGGGCAAUGACGAUGCAGUUGAGCGACUUACCCACAGAUGAGAGCUCGAGGAAAGCUGCAAAUUUGUGGAGGAGCGCCGGCAUUGAUGCUCUUUCAGGCUCUAGAUUGAUCGGGUGGUGUAUGUGGUAUGUUGUGCUCUCCGUGUUGACCGUUCACCACCCGUGGAGCAGCCGUCCGUCCGAGCCAGAUCGGGGACCCACCAGAACCACCAUCACGGCCAGUCGACGCCACCAGGGCCAUCAGAACAUGUAACUCGAGUCUAGCGCCGCCUACCCAACAAGAAUUGCAUAGACUUCAUUGUGGAAAUCUGAAUGUAGUUAUUUAUAUGGGGGUUGCGACAGUAAGCGGGUCAACACCGCUGAGGUGCACAACCAUUCCGAGAAGUUGAUGACCCAUCUUGCCAUUCUCUUAUUGCCUGCUUGAGGUGCUAAUUAUUAAUUGCUUGUCGGGGUUGAUCGUUGCCUGGGUCGAUCGGCUGGAAGACUGAAGGUGUUGCAGAGCCUGCUACCCAAUUCCAACAAGGUCACUCCAUUUUUCCUUCUUUCUUUGUCCCUGAAUUUGGUGCUGCUGCGUUUAUGUUUGUGAUGAAAUUAAUGGGUUCAUGUUUGCGUUGGUCUGCGGGGUUAGGCAUCAAUUCUUGAUGGGCCAUUGAGUAUCAGAAGCAACUGCAUCUCCAAGUAUAGGUCAUUAAGCAUGCCUGGAUGCAUUUGGAUGAUGAUCUCAGUUUGAGGGAGUUAUUGGUCUCAUCGAUGACAUACGCAAUUCUUGCAGGCGGGGUAAAACUUGAGUCACCUAUGAAAUGAUUUUUACCAUUUGUCAGAGCAGAGGUUUUUCUGGGGUUGAGCCUGUUUGGCUGUUUAUGAGCAGGCAACACUAUGGUCGAUCAAGCCCUUGCAAGAUAGUAAUGCAUUUUUGCAUUCUGGGGUUACAAUGGCGAGUACUAAACAAGACGACCAUGCUCCAGGAAUAGGAACGUUUCCCGCAAAAAAAGGAAUAGGACUGUACUCCUCCCAAAAGACAAAAGCAAGACAAUGCAGACAAUAAAAAUCCAGCACCAACAAUGAAUAGCCGGAGUAAACAAAACAAGCAAACCAAAUCAUGACGGCCCUUGAGGAAGGGUUGCAGUGUCGAGGAGCAGCAGGCAUGUAAAUCUGACUGCAAUUCGUUUUCUUAAGGCUAGAACACUACAGUGAUUGAUUAUGCACCUGAAGGAUUGAUGAAGCUGCUUGGACUGAAUUUCUCUUUAAAAUACAUGGUGAUUGUUUGGGAUGAUUGGGCAAAAAUAGUUGGGAAUUGGUUUUUUAUUACAUGCAAAACUUCAAGCCUUGGGGUCUUGCUGACAUUUGUUGUUUCAAGUUUAGACCUUUUUCACCGCUGACUAUACUCUCAAGUUCAGGUCACGGUGGAUGGUUUGAGAGGAGGAAGGCAGAGCAGAGACAAACGACGCAUUCCAUCAUGCAUGUGUGUGAAUUUGUAUCGUCCUACUAUUGUGUUGCUUUGUUUUACAGUAAUAAAUAAAGAGAUGAAUCAGAUUUU